UGUCCUCUUGCUGGUCGCAAUCCAGUUUCAAUAUCUCGUCAUGAGCGGUCGAUUCCGGCUUUGGCGCGAACAUCGGGCGACGGCGGUUGUUGUUGCAGUCCUGCUGGUCU
rnacentral:rRNA from 1 species